rnacentral:lncRNA from 1 species
UCAUAUUCAGCUUGAUUCAGCCCAUUGAUCAAUGUACUCCUUGCUUUUCCAUUGGCAGCAACCUUUGAUAGCUCGUCCGCUGUGAGAACAUCAACGUCCUUGACUUUGCCAUCGCUAUCACGAUAUUCAUAAGGACCUCUUUGCACCACUCUUUGCAUUAGGGGAUCUCUGGAUAGAUGAGCCUCCAUUUGGCCUUUCCACCAAUUGUAGUUGUCAGAACCCGUGAGGAGAGGAGCUCUAAAAUCGGACUUUCCCUGAAAGUUAUCAGCCAUAUCGAUCGAUACUAUUCCUGUUACAGAAGUAUUAGUACAAACACAGCUCUGAUACCAAUUGAAAUUACACACCUAGAGGGGGGGUGAAUAGGUGUUAUGGCUAAUAUGACCGAUUUUUAAUGUUACCAAAUAUUUAUACUGUCACAGACAGCUUGCUGUUAAUUUCAGAGUAAACAGUCAGCUAGCUAACAAUGCAGAUGCAAUGCAAAACAGAUAUAAUCAGUAAGCUAGCAACACAGAGAAUUUUAGCCAGGUUCGACCCCUA